GUGAAUGCUAUCCUGGGAUAGAGAUGGAGCCCUGGUGGCCUGAUUCCUCCUGGCCUGGCCAGUACCAUUGUAGCUUCCUGCCACCUCCAAGCUCAUUAAAGACCCAGAGUGACUUGCCUGUCCCAGAGCGACUUGGGAGGGUCAGAAACAGGGGUGAGGGGCCCAGGGCAAGCCUGGGCCUGUAAACGAUGGCAGCCUGGGGCUUUAGUUUGGGAACACAUUCACACCUCCUAUAGGUCAGGCUGCACACUCCGGUUGAUAACCCCAUCUGCAGGUGAGGAAACAGGCACAGUUAUUUGUCCUCAGGCAUGCUCCUUAGAGGCCACUUGAUUGCAGAGAAGGUCUACAGGGCAGUGGUUAGAACUUGGCCCUGAGGACAGAGCUUUCGCUCAGUAUGAGGCUGGCAGGUAACGGCCUUCUGUUUCCUCCUCAGGAAUCUGGAAUGAUGAAGGUGGUGAUGAUUGUGCCUGUAGCCAGGACCGGGAGAACCCUGGACCCCUACAUCUUCCCCACCCCUGGAAUGUCACUAUACAUAUCUGACUUCCUUCUGAUGUUGCCUUUGACCCUAAAGUCAAUAUGAUAAAGUAACAAGAAGCUGGGACAGAGGAACAAACACAGCCCAGUCAAGUAGUGGUGUCAACAUUCUGUUAGAAAGGAGGGGACUCAAAGAAAAAAAAGACACCUCCCCCCACCUCCUUGAUCACCUCCCUAAAGACAGAGAACAUGGACACCCUCCAUCCUGGCAGACAUGCCAUGUGGUCAGUUUGUGCAGUAAACAGGAAAGAAAAAAAAAGAAAAAAAAAAAACCCUAAACAUAUUGUAGACCUUUAUUUUUUAAAUCUCCUAAUAAAAACGUUAAACUUUCAA